rnacentral:rRNA from 1 species
CAGUCGAGGGGCAGCAUAUAGAUUGCUUGCAAUUUAUGAUGGCGACCGGCGCACGGGUGAGUAACGCGUAUCCAACCUACCCAUUACUAGGGAAUAACCCAGCGAAAGUUGGCCUAAUGCCCUAUGUAGUCGUUUGAUCGCCUGUGAUUUCGACGAAAGAUUUAUCGGUAUUGGAUGGGGAUGCGUCUGAUUAGCUUGUUGGCGGGGUAAAGGCCCACCAAGGCAACGAUCAGUAGGGGUUCUGAGAGGAAGGUCCCCCACAUUGGAACUGAGACACGGUCCAAACUCCUACGGGAGGCAGCAGUGAGGAAUAUUGGUCAAUGGGCGAGAGCCUGAACCAGCCAAGUAGCGUGCAGGAUGACGGCCCUAUGGGUUGUAAACUGCUUUUAUAUGGGAAUAAAGUGAGGGACGUGUCCCUUAUUGCAUGUACCAUAUGAAUAAGGACCGGCUAAUUCCGUGCCAGCAGCCGCGGUAAUACGGAAGGUCCAGGCGUUAUCCGGAUUUAUUGGGUUUAAAGGGAGCGUAGGCUGUUUGUUAAGCGUGUUGUGAAAUGUAAGAGCUCAACCUUUAGAUUGCAGCGCGAACUGGCAGACUUGAGUGCGCACAACGUAGGCGGAAUUCAUGGUGUAGCGGUGAAAUGCCUAGAUAUCAUGACGAACUCCGAUUGCGAAGGCAGCUUAC